GACAAAAAAACAAUUUCUACUGAACUUCGGAGCUAUUCAUUCCAAAACCACUUAGCAUUUGAGAAUCUCGUUGUUUCACAAUGUAUUGCAGUCAAGAUACAAAUAUUCUCAUUUCUGUUGCAAAAGUGGAAUAUUUUGUUUAUGGAGGUGUAAUACCUGUCUAUACAGUCCAUACAUUUCUUAAUAAUGGAUUUUUCUUGUCACUUUUCAGUGACAGAUGUUGGUUCUUCAGAAUGUAUUCCCUGCCUCUUGUAAUUGUGUUGUGAAGACUCUGAGGAUGAUCACAAAUGUUUUGCUAGUGCAUUGUCAUGGACACCUGAGGUUAUGAGAGUGAAGAAAUAAGGACAUUUGUGUAGUAGGAAGUCAGUUAGUUCAUGCUGUAUGCUGAAGAGAAUCCGGCAACUUGGGACGCCAUUUAAAUCUUAUUCUUGAGUUGACAUUUACAUUAGCAAGAGGGUUUGCUCAGAACUGAAUGAGACAGGAAGCCAUUUUUGUGGGAAAAUAACUUCUAAAUGCACAAGAAGCCUGUCAAAUUGUUCAAUUACUAACUUGUUCUUUCAUCAGUAAUAGAUUUUUUUCUCAGAAUACCUGACUUUUCAUAUUACUGUCUUUUAUUAUUAUUAUUACUAAUUUUCUUCAAAAUAGCAUUAGCUUUUGUUGCAUGUUUUUAAAGUAUGUCUUAGUAGGCAGACUUAAACUUCCCAGAGAUAGAUCUGCAUUGACCAGAGAGCUGCACAGUAAUUCACAAAGCUCUUGCUUUUCCUGGCUAAUAGAAGCACUGUUUAGCUAAUGUUAGUGCUAGCCAGUGUGACUUUUUCAGACCUUGAAUAAGUAACAUUUGGCAGCAAUUCUUUAUUAUUACAACUUCAAUCACCUGUUGUGCAUGCCAGCCAUGUACUGUCAUAUGCUGUACAAGAUAAUGUACCUGUGGUGUUGUCAGGUUCAGACAAACCAGAAACACUGAUUUUUCUUUAACAAACAGUAGUUCUGUGGCAUUUAACUUAACCAAAAUCAAUACCACUGACUAACUACAUCUGCAUACACUGUAUGGAUUAAAAUUUCAAAAUAAGAUCAGGUGAUAAAGUUCAUAGACAUCUUCACCUUGCGGCGUAAGUUUCUUUUGGUUGUUUAUGGGAGAAAAAGACCUUUGAAAUAUAUAGUUGACUUGGAUUUUACAAUUUCAUUUAAUUAAUUAAAUUUCUAUUUUGUUUUUAAUGUGUAUCAGAGAAAUUAUGGUGAAUCAAAAUGCCACGGUAGUACAACUGCAGACUGAAAUGCAGAACAAAGCUCCAGGGAGUUUCUUGGUUAUAAGAUUACAGUGACGUAGAGGUUUGGAGCACACUCAAGGUGAAAGAUGUGGAGAGAGAAACGGACACAGCAAGGGGAGAAAAAGAUAAAAAACACUGCAGCUUGUACAGAUAAUUAAGAUAAGUUUAAAAACAAGACUCCAGGCAGCAGUGAAUCUUCAUCUGAUCUUGCAGACAGCCUCAAGCAGCAGUUUGGAAGAAAACCCCAAAGAGGAAGAUAGAAGGAAUGACAACCUUUUUAGCCAGACAAGGUUUAAUAGAGAAAAAGAAGGAAGAUGUUUAAGGUAUGUUUGUAUGGAAAGAUAGCAAGUAAAUAAGGUGUUGGCUUACUUCUGCACUAAAACAGUUGAAAGCUUUUAUUACCAGCUCAGUGCAACUAGUCAUUUUGAGUUCAGAACUAGGGGUCACUGCCUAUCUUUAAAAAAGCAUUAUUUCACUCUAAAAUAUAUUUUUUCCUAUGACUACUGAUCUGUCCACCUAGUGGUCUUCCUUCUACUUCGAAGAUUUGAAGAGGAGCAAAGAAUGAGAGG